GUCUUUUUAAUUAACACUUUGUAUCCCUUGCCAAAAAGAAUCAAACCUCUUAAAUAACCUCAUUCUUUCUUCCCUUAUUCUUUUGAGGAUUUUGAGAAAAUAAUGAGUGGGCUGAGAGCCCAUGUUUUGCAUGAAACUAGAAAACAUGCCAUUUAACAAAGAGACAUACAAGCCUGAUAGAAUAAUCAAUAAUGUUUUUACAUAUAGACUGCUGUCAAAAGGAAACCAAUAAAAAAAUUCACUCAAAAAGUUAAAAGGGCUGCAAAUUCCACUUCAAAUAUAUGGCAUGCGUUUCGACAGCAGGUUACAGGUUAGGGUCAGAAAGGAGCUAGCGGUGCCAAUUGCCAAAUAAAUAUCACAUGCUAGCACUUAAUUGAAAAAGAGUUAUGAGAAUAAACUAGAAUGGUAGAAUAAGAAAAAUUGAGUUGGACAGAUAAAGCAACAGCUAGAUGAACAAGGUGAAGUUACACUGGAAGUGUUCAAUAGAAGAAUAUGCUAGGAAGAGAAGCCAGAGAGGCAUAGAGAGAAUUUCAAGGAGAUAUAAUGCCCAAGUAGGAUGUUUCUACCAACUAUGUAAUAAUAAGACCAAAAGCAUGAAUCACUAAAAUGCAAAGGAAACUAAUAUUGGAACAUGAGCAAAUACAUGUAGAGAAGACAGUCAAAGUUAAUUAGCCAUUAGAACUUCUAUAAGAAAAGGAUUUAGCCUACAAAAUCCAUAGUUUUUAGGCGCAUCAACUAAUCAGUUUCAUUACUUAUGACCAAAAAUAUUAAUGAGACUAGAAUUAAUUAGUAUGCAAGUUCACGCUCCACUAAGUUCAGAACCUCAUAGAAGGACCCGAAAGUCUGACUUGACAAGGCCCUUAUAGCCAAAAGAGUACCUUUAU
rnacentral:lncRNA from 1 species